rnacentral:rRNA from 1 species
CACUUCUAAGGAAGGCAGCAGGCGCGCAAAUUACCCAAUCCUGACUCAGGGAGGUAGUGACAAGAAAUAACAAUAAACCGGCUUAUGCCGGUUUAAUUGGAAUGAGUACAAUUUAAACAUCUUAACGAGGAACAAUUGGAGGGCAAGUCUGGUGCCAGCAGCCGCGGUAAUUCCAGCUCCAAUAGCGUAUACUAAAGUUGUUGCAGUUAAAAAGCUCGUAGUUGGAUUUCUGUGGGGACGGAGCGGCCGGCCGCAACUCGCGGUUCGAGCUAGCGCUUUCCCUACAUCCUGCCGCGAACCGUGCUACCAUUAAUUUGGUGGCGCUGGGGAUCGGCUCGAUUACUUUGAGAAAAAUAGAGUGUUCAAAGCAGGCCACACGCCUUGAAUAAGUUAGCAUGGAAUAAUAACUAAGGACUUCGGUUCUAUUUUGUUGGUGUUCGGGACUGAAGUAAUGAUUGAUAGGGACAGUUGGGGCGGUCUGUAUUCCAAAGCGAGAGGUGAAAUUCUUAGACCUUCGGAAGACAAACAGCUGCGAAAGCGUUCCGCAAGGAUGUUCCCUUUGAUCAAGAACGAAAGUUGGGGGAUCGAAGACGAUCAGAUACCGUCGUAGUCUCAACUAUAAACUAUACCAGCUAGGGAUCGGCCAACGUUAUUCUAUACCGACUUGGUCGGCACCUUAUGAGAAAUCAAAGCAUCUGGGUUCCGGGGGGAGUAUGGUCGCAAGGCUGAAACUUAAAGGAAUUGACGGAAGGGCACCACCAGCCGUGGAGCCUGUGGCUUAAUUUGACUCAACACGGGAAAACUUACCAGGUCCAGACAUAGUAAGGAUUGACAGAUUGAUAGCUCUUUCUUGAUUCUGUGGGUGGUGGUGCAUGGCCGUUCUUAGUUGGUGGAGUGAUUUGUCUGGUUAAUUCCGUUAACGAACGAGACCCCAGCCUGCUAAAUAGCGCGUGUGAGCUUUGCUCGCAGCGAGCUUCUUAGAGGGACUAUGAUGCGCGAUAGCACAUGGAAGUUUGGGGCAAUAACAGGUCUGUGAUGCCCUUAGAUGUUCUGGGCCGCACACGGGCUACACUGGCGCCUGCAACGAGCAUAUCAGCUGGCCCGAGAGGGUCUUGGCUAAUCUUUUGAACCGGCGCCGUGCUUGGGAUUGACCUUUGCAAUUGUUGGUCAUGCAACGAGGAAUGCCUUGUAAACGCGAGUCAUCAGCUCGCAUUGAAUACGUCCCUGCCCUUUGUACACACCGCCCGUCGCUCCUACCGAUGAAUGUUCCGAUGAAAUUUUCGGAGAGUGCCUGUGAACUUGGCUCUGCCUUGCGAACGGGAAGCUCAAAGUCACUUAAAUCUGAACAUUUCGAGG